GACGAACGCUGGCGGCGUGCUUAACACAUGCAAGUCGAACGGAAAGGCCCUGCUUUUGUGGGGUGCUCGAGUGGCGAACGGGUGAGUAACACGUGAGUAACCUGCCCUUGACUUUGGGAUAACUUCAGGAAACUGGGGCUAAUACCGGAUAGGAGCUCCUGCUGCAUGUUGGGGUUUGGACAGUUUCGGCUGUUGGGGAUGGACUCGCGGCUUAUCAGCUUGUUGGUGGGGUAGUGGCUUACCAAGGCUUUGACGGGUAGCCGGCCUGAGAGGGUGACCGGCCACAUUGGGACUGAGAUACGGCCCAGACUCCUACGGGAGGCAGCAGUGGGGAAUAUUGCACAAUGGGCGGAAGCCUGAUGCAGCAACGCCGCGUGCGGGAUGACGGCCUUCGGGUUGUAAACCGCUUUCGCCUGUGACGAAGCGUGAGUGACGGUAAUGGGUAAAGAAGCACCGGCUAACUACGUG
rnacentral:rRNA from 1 species